GCCAAUGUGGUAUAGUGGUUUUAACAUUAGACUAGGACUCUGCAGACCAGGGUUCAAAUCCCCACCUAUCA